UUUCAUUGUCAAUCUGUGGCGGUGCAAUUCUAUACGUUUAACUAUACGUGUUUCUUGUGUAGGUCUGUUUGACUGGAAAAAGGACAAGAAGUUCUUUCCUCGUCUUGAAGAACCCAUCUCUCCGGAUAGAGACUCUCCGACCGAAGAUAGCUGAAGCUGUGUGUAGGACUCCUGGAAAUGUCAGAUGUCUCUCUCUCACACAAGAACACGGUAGUUGCAUCAUGCAAGUGGAGUUCACAAAAGCAGAAGGAGGAGGCCUUGGCUUUGCUUUAAUUGGGGGAACUAAUGGCAGCAUGCUCAGAGUGAAAGACAUCUGCUCUGGUGGAGUAGCUGAGCAGGACGGUCGGCUGAGAGUGGGAGAUAUUCUAUUAGAGGUGAAUAGUGUGAUUGUGUCCGGGCUGAGCUACAGUAAGGUGGUGGAUAUCCUGCGUAAAGCUGAAGGCACUGUACAGCUCACCAUCUGCAGAGACAUCCUACCCCUAUCCUACUGCGACUCACCUCCACCGCCCAACAUGUCCACUCACACUGAAGCUAUUUUAGCCGAGCAGCCGGCUCCCGUGCCCAGCCAUGAUACCUGUUCCUCGCCUGACGUCAUGCUGAAUAAGCCAGUGGAGCGCCCGCCUGAGGCGACUUCAGACCCUGUGGUCAAUGAAGCUGGUGUGUUCGUUACCUCACCCCCGCCUCCACCACGCCGACUGACUAUCGUAACAGAUGACAUUUCAAUUUCGCAGGAGAGCUGUAACAGCACCCCUUCUCAUCAAGCUUGCUGCCCACCCCUCAAUGUCUCUGACAUUUUGCAUGGAGCUUCUGACAGGUGGAAAAGACGCAGGGAAAGGAAGCUCAGCCUUGCAUGAUUUCAUCCCCUCCUACCGAAGAGUAAAAAUGGUCUGGUCUCACCCCUGCCCCCUGACUCCCCCAGGAAACAAAUUGUGACCAAACUUUUGGACCGGUCCUGCAAAGACAUCCGGAAAACCCAGUCAGACGGCUGGAGCAGCGAAGAAGAAGAUGAUGAUGAUGUGU
rnacentral:lncRNA from 1 species